rnacentral:rRNA from 1 species
GACGAACGCUGGCGGCGUGCUUAACACAUGCAAGUGGAGCGACGAACCGGGGCUUGCCCCGGGGCAGAGCCGCGAACGGGUGAGUAACACGUGGGUAACCCACCCCGAUGACCGGGACAACCCGAGGAAACUCGGGCUAAUACCGGAUGUGCUCCUUGACCUCGAGGUCAAGGCGUAAAGAUAGCUUCGGCCUCCGUAUCGGGAGCGGUCCGCGGCCCAUUAGCUAGUUGGUGAGGUAACGGCUCACCAAGGCAACGAUGGGUAGCUGGUCUGAGAGGACGAUCAGCCACACUGGGACUGAGACACGGCCCAGACUCCUACGGGAGGCAGCAGUGGGGAAUCUUGCGCAAUGCGCGAAAGCGUGACGCAGCAACGCCGCGUGGGGGAAGAAGGUUUUCGGAUUGUAAACCCCUUUCAGGAAGGACGAAGGUUCGGCAGUUAAUAGCUGACCGGACUGACGGUACUUCCACAAGAAGGUCCGGCUAACUACGUGCCAGCAGCCGCCGUA